CGUAGAGGUAGUUUGUAGUCCUCGGUCUACGACGGACGAACGACUGGCGGGACGUGCCUAAUACAUGCAAGUCGACGGAGAUAUUCGCUGAUGAAGUACUUCGGUAAUGAAUCUUGGUAUAUCUUAGUGGCGGACGGGUGAGUAACGACGUGAGCAACCUGCCUUUCAGAGGGGGAGUAACGUUUGGUAAACGAACGCUAAUACCGCAUGACAUUAUCUUAUCGCAUGGUAGGAUAAUCAAAGGAGCAAUCCGCUGAAAGAUGGGCUCGCGUCCGAUUAGGUAGUUGGUGGGGUAACGGCCCACCAAGCCGACGAUCGGUAGCCGGACUGAGAGGUUGGACGGCCACAUUGGGACUGAGACACGGCCCAGACUCCUACGGGAGGCAGCAGUAAGGGAUAUUGGUCAAUGGGGGAAACCCGUGAACCAGCAACGCCGCGUGAGGGAAGACGGUUUUCGGAUUGUAAACCUCUGUCCUCUGUGAAGAUGAUGACGGUAGCAGAGGAGGAAGCUCCGGCUAACUACGUG
rnacentral:rRNA from 1 species